rnacentral:misc_RNA from 2 species
UUAAGUUCAGCGGGUAUCCCUACCUGAUCCGAGGUCAACCGGUAAAAUAUGGUUUCGACCAGCGCCGCCGGGCCUGUUGAGCUUAUAAGGAUUCCCAUACGCUCGGGCACCGAAACGGACGCCGCCACUGCCUUUCGGGCACGUCCACGGGGGACGAGGCCCAACACACAAGCCGCGCUUGAAGGUUGCAAUGACGCUCG